rnacentral:rRNA from 1 species
CCUACGGGUGGCAGCAGUGAGGAAUAUUGGUCAAUGGGCGCGAGCCUGAACCAGCCAAGUAGCGUGAAGGAUGACUGCCCUACGGGUUGUAAACUUCUUUUAUAAAGGAAUAAAGUGAUGCACGUGUGCCUUUUUGUAUGUACUUUAUGAAUAAGGAUCGGCUAACUCCGUGCCAGCAGCCGCGGUAAUACGGAGGAUCCGAGCGUUUGCCGGAUUUAUUGGGUUUAAAGGGAGCGUAGAUGGGUUGUUAAGUCAGUUGUGAAAGUUUGCGGCUCAACCGUCAAAGUGCAAUUGAUACUGGCAGCCUUGAGUACAGUUGAGGUAGGCGGAAUGCGUGGUGUAGCGGUGAAAUGCUUAGAUAUCACGAAGAACUCCGAUUGCGAAGGCAGCUUACUAAACUGCCACUGACAUUGAUGCUCGAAAGUGUGGGUAUCAAACAGGAUUAGAUACCCUGGUAGUC